ensembl:lncRNA HERC2P3 HERC2 pseudogene 3
CCGUAUGCGAUGUUUUGUGGAUGGCAAAGACUUAUUCCUGAGGGAAUCGAUAUAGGGGAACCUCUUACUGAUUGUUUAAAGGAUGUUGAUUUGAUCCCGCCUUUUAAUCGGAUGCUGCUGGAAGUCACCUUUGGCAAGCUGUACGCUUGGGCUGUUCAGAACAUUCGAAAUGUUUUGGUGGAUGCCAGUGCCAAAUUUAAAGAGCUUGGUAUCCAGCCGGUUCCCCUGCAAACCAUCACCAAUGAGAACCCAUCGGGACCGAGCUUGGGGACCAUCCCGCAAGCCCACUUCCUCCUGGUGAUGCUCAGCAUGCUCACCCUGCAGCACAGCGCAAACAACCUUGACCUCCUGCUCAAUUCCGGCACGCUGGCCCUCGCUCAGACGGCACUGCGCCUGAUUGGCCCCAGUUGUGACAGCGUUGAGGAAGAUAUGAAUGCUUCUGCUCAAGGUGCUUCUGCCACAGUUUUGGAAGAAACAAGGAAGGAAACGGCUCCUGUGCAGCUCCCUGUUUCAGGGCCAGAACUGGCUGCCAUGAUGAAGAUUGGAACAAGGGUCAUGAGAGGUGUGGACUGGAAAUGGGGCGAUCAGGAUAGGCCUCCUCCAGGCCUAGGCCGAGUGAUUGGUGAGCUGGGAGAGGACGGGUGGAUAAGAGUCCAGUGGGACACAGGCAGCACCAACUCCUACAGGAUGGGGAAAGAAGGAAAUUACGACCUCAAGCUGGCAGAGCUGCCAGCCCCUGCACAGCCCUCAGCAGAGGAUUCGGACACAGAGGACGACUCUGAAGCCGAACAAACUGAAAGGAACAUUCACCCCACUGCAAUGAUGUUUACCAGCACUAUUAACUUACUGCAGACUCUUUGUCUGUCUGCUGGAGUUCAUGCUGAGAUCAUGCAGAGUGAAGCCACCAAGACUUUAUGCGGACUGCUGCAAAUGCUGGUGUACAGGGAGCAACACCGGAGCUGGUGCACGCUGGGGUUUGUGCAGAGCAUCGCUCUCACGCUGCAGGUGUGCGGCACCCUCAGCUCCCUGCAGUGGAUCACGCUGCUCAUGAAGGUCGUGGAAGGGCACGCACCCUUCACUGCCACCUCGCUGCAGAGGCAGAUCUUAGCUGUGCAUUUGUUGCAAGCAGUCCUUCCGUCAUGGGACAAGACCGAAAGGGCGAGGGACAUGAAAUGCCUCAUGGAGAAGCUGUUUGACUUCUUGGGGAGCUUGCUCACUAUGUGCUCCUCUGACGUGCCGUUACUCAGAGGUGGGUGGCCGUCUCCCUUCCCUGUACCCUGGUGAAGAGCGGUGCAGUGCCGUCACUCAGAGGUGGGUGGCCGUCUCCCUUCCCUGUGUCCUGGUGAAGAGCCGUGUAGUGCCAUCACUCAGAGGUGGGUGGCCGUCUCCCUUCCCUGUACCCUGGUGAAGAGCGGUGCAGUGCCGUCACUCAGAGGUGGGUGGCCGUCUCCCUUCCCUGUGUCCUGGUGAAGAGCCGUGUAGUGCCAUCACUCAGAGGUGGGUGGCCAUCUCCCUUCCCUGUGUCCUGGUGAAGAGCGGCGCAGUGCCGUCACUCAGAGGUGAGUGGCCGUCUCCCUUCCCUGUGCCCUGGUGAAGAGUGGUGCAGCAGCUUCUCCCCUGGUUUCCUCCUCAGAGUCCACGCUGAGGCGGCGCAGGGUGUGCCCGCAGGCCUCGCUGACUGCCACCCACAGCAGCACACUGGCGGAGGAGGUGGUGGCACUGCUGCACACGCUGCACUCCCUGACUCAGUGGAAUGGGCUCAUCAACAAGUACAUCAACUCCCAGCUCCGCUCCAUCACCCACAGCUUUGCGGGAAGGCCUUCCAAAGGGGCCCAGUUAGAGGACUACUUCCCUGAUUCCGAGAACCCUGAAGUGGGGGGCCUCAUGGCGGUCCUGGCUGUGGUUGGAGGCAUCGAUGGUCGCCUGUGCCUGGGCGGCCAAGUUGUGCACGAUGAC